ensembl:piRNA 21ur-2336 ncRNA
UGGACUGCUAAAUUGUUAGAC